AUUGAACGCUGGCGGCAGGCUUAACACAUGCAAGUCGAACGAGUGGCGGACGGGUGAGUAAUGUCUGGGAAACUGCCUGAUGGAGGGGGAUAACUACUGGAAACGGUAGCUAAUACCGCAUACCAUCGGAUGUGCCCAGAUGGGAUUAGCGAGUGGGCGGGGUAAAGGCUCACCUAGGCGACGAUCCCUAGCUGGUCUGAGAGGAUGACCGGCCACACGGGAACGGAGACACGGUCCAGACUCCUACGGGAGGCAGCGGUGGGGAAUAUUGCACAAGGGGCGCAAGCCUGAUGCAGCCAUGCCGGUUGUAUGAAGAAGGCCUUCGGGUUGUAAAGUACUUUCAGCGGGGAGGCGUUACCCGCAGAAGAAGCACCGGCUAACUCCGUGCCAGCAGCCGCGGUAAUAC
rnacentral:rRNA from 1 species